CUGGUGAAAUUCUUGGACCGUCGCAAGACGGACAGAAGCGAAAGCAUUUGCCAAAAACGCUUUCAUUGAUCAAGAACGAAAGUUAGAGGUUCGAAGGCGAUCAGAUACCGCCCUAGUUCUAACCAUAAACGAUGCCAGCUAGCGAUCCGCCGACGUUCCUCCGAUGACUCGGCGGGCAGCUUCCGGGAAACCAAAGCUUUUGGGUUCCGGGGGAAGUAUGGUUGCAAAGCUGAAACUUAAAGGAAUUGACGGAAGGGCACCACCAGGAGUGGAGCCUGCGGCUUAAUUUGACUCAACACGGGAAAUCUCACCAGGCCCGGACACCGGAAGGAUUGACAGAUUGAGAGCUCUUUCUUGAUUCGGUGGGUGGUGGUGCAUGGCCG
rnacentral:rRNA from 1 species